UACGUAGGGUGCGAGCGUUAAUCGGAAUUACUGGGCGUAAAGCGUGCGCAGGCGGUUCGCUAAGACAGGUGUGAAAUCCCCGGGCUCAACCUGGGAAUGGCGCUUGUGACUGGCGGGCUGGAGUACGGCAGAGGGGGGUGGAAUUCCUGGUGUAGCAGUGAAAUGCGUAGAGAUCAGGGGGAACAUCGAUGGCGAAGGCAGCCCCCUGGGCCGCUACUGACGCUCAUGCACGAAAGCGUGGGGAGCAAACAGG
rnacentral:rRNA from 1 species